AAACCUCGACAAACAGACUUACAUUGUUCUUUGAGAUCGGUGGCCUUCAGAGAAACAAGAUUGACAAAGUUUCUUACUCCUGACAUCUGCCACAAGAUGAAGUCUGGAAACAACUGUGUGUUUUCCGGCUCAUGACAGGACACGACGACAGCAGCAGCUCUCUUAAGAAGCCAGCAUUUGUACCAUUAAAGGGCUCAAAUUUGACACCUGUAAUUUUACCUGGAAGUCUUAAGCCAAGAAAAAAACGGGAAAAGCAAAUUAAGGAAGCAAGGGAAAAAAAAAACAACCGAAAGAAGGAGAUCACAAAUUCAUUAAAGUUGUGGAACUACUUAGUUCUGCUUCUUAGGUACACAAAAGAGAGCCUGAGUAUUUAUCAGGGCUGUUGUGAGAGAGCACUUCAGAGCCUUGGAGCUACGCAAGAGCUGAAUACUUGAGGUGUUUUCAAGAGUAACGUCUUUGUGGAGUCACUAGAAGAGAACAUAGAGACCAGAAGAUGAUGUAAUGGUUGGAGUAAUUAGGAAGAGAAGUUGAGGACUAGAGGAUGGGGAUGGAAAGGAGAGUGUGCAAAUCACUUACCAAGAGAAAAGGCUCGACUCAUGGAUCCUAUUUUUUUGAGGAAGGAAAGCUCAGCCCAUCAGAGAGAUUCUGGACCCCGAGACACAAGGUCACCUUUCUUUCUGAUUGUGUAAUUGAUUUC